rnacentral:rRNA from 1 species
CGCCAGACUCCUACGGGAGGCAGCAGUGGGGAAUAUUGCGCAAUGGGCGAAAGCCUGACGCAGCGACGCCGCGUGAGGGAUGAAGGUCUUCGGAUCGUAAACCUCUGUCAGCAGGGAAGAACGGUCACUGUGCUAAUCAGCAGUGAAUUGACGGUACCUGCAAAGGAAGCCCCGGCUAACUACGUGCCAGCAGCCGCGGUAAUACGUAGGGGGCAAGCGUUAUCCGGAAUUACUGGGUGUAAAGGGAGCGUAGACGGUGAUGCAAGUCUGGAGUGAAAGGCGGGGGCCCAACCCCCGGACUGCUCUGGAAACUGUGUAACUUGAGUGCAGGAGAGGUAAGCGGAAUUCCUAGUGUAGCGGUGAAAUGCAUAGAUAUUAGGAGGAACACCAGUGGCGAAGGCGGCUUACUGGACAGUAACUGACGUUGAGGCUCGAAAGCGUGGGGAGCAAACAGGAUUAGAUACCCGCGUAU